rnacentral:rRNA from 1 species
GAACGAAGGCUUCGGCCUUAGUGGCGCACGGGUGAGUAACGCGUGGGAAACUGCCUAUCGGUGGGGAAUAACGACGGGAAACUGUCGCUAAUACCGCAUACGCCCUUCGGGGGAAAGAUUUAUCGCCGAUAGAUGUGCCCGCGUCCGAUUAGCUAGUUGGUGAGGUAAUGGCUCACCAAGGCUACGAUCGGUAGCUGGUCUGAGAGGAUGAUCAGCCACACUGGGACUGAGACACGGCCCAGACUCCUACGGGAGGCAGCAGUGGGGAAUAUUGCGCAAUGGACGAAAGUCUGACGCAGCGACGCCGCGUGGGUGAUGAAGGCCUUACGGGUUGUAAAGCCCCUGUGGGGAGAGACGAAUAAGUCGGCGCUAAUAUCGCCGGCGAUGACGGUAUCUCCUUAGCAAGCACCGGCUAACUCUGUGCCAGCAGCCGCGGUAAU